UGGAAGAGAACGCCAACGCGUUAGAGGGCAGGGAAUCAGAGCUGUCUUCGCAUGCCACAGCGAGUGUGAACACAGCUGGUGAUAUCUCUUCCCUUUAUCGCUCAGUCAGCAUGCUGAUC
rnacentral:precursor_RNA from 10 species